UGGUCUCCCAGGUGAUUCUUAAUACUGUGAAGACAUGUAGUAGGAAACAUCAUGAAAUAUUAACAAUGCUACUAAUGCCGAAAGAAAUCCAAGUUAUUCAUAAUGAGCUUGCAAGACUGGCAGUCUCACAAGGGCAGGGAUGGUGGUGGCAGAUACUGUUUUUUUAUAGGUCUCUUCAUCCAUGAACAAGAGGAUGGGCAGUAGCAUCCAACAGAUGAUGUGGCCAAUGUGUAUCCCCCCACUAUCUCUCUUCAUCUAGUUUGAGGAUCCGAGGAGAACCUAGCCUGGCACCUUUAUAGCAAAGUGCCAUUCUGCCAUCUGCUCCAGAACCACCUUCAUUCUUAAAUCCAGAAUUUGGCAUACAGUGCAUUUCACACAAGUGGGUCUUCUAAGAAGAUGCUAGAAGCAGUUAAAAGCUACAUGCCCUCCAAAGCAUUGUGUGCUUACAUCCAUUAAAAACACCCUUCCAAGAGUUUAAAUAUUUUCCCUCUGAAGAAUAAAAGAGAGAGAGAGAUU